ensembl:lncRNA
CUUUUCCCUCAUGAAGAUCAUUAAGUCCAAAUACCGUUCCACAAUGACUGAUCAUCAUUUGGAGGCCUGUUUGAGGCUGGCUACCAGCAGCUACUGUCCGGACUAUGCAACCCUGGCUGAUUCUAUUCAGUGUAAGAGUAGCCGCAGAGAGAGGCGUGUCUCCGGGGGAAAGCAGGACCUCACACUCACCGGGCAGUACUGGCCAUUCUCUUCUACAGAAAGUAGCUAAGAUCUGGAUGUUCAGCUGGUCUCAGAUCAAGCAUCCUCCUCUGUACUGACUCCACUAUCCCCAGCUUCAUCCCAUUCAUCAGAUUCCACAAUUGUCCUGGAGUCCACACGAAAGAGGAGGAACCCAACAGGGUUAAUGGAGCAG